rnacentral:rRNA from 1 species
UACAGAGGUCCCAAGCGUUGUUCGGAUUCACUGGGCGUAAAGGGUGCGUAGGUGGCAGGGUAAGUUUGAUGUGAAAUCUCCGAGCUUAACUCGGAAACUGCAUUGAAUACUAUCCUGCUCGAGGUUUGGAAGGGGGACUGGAAUUCUCGGUGUAGCAGUGAAAUGCGUAGAUAUCGAGAGGAACACCAGUGGCGAAGCGAGUCCCUGGACAACACCUGACACUGAGGCACGAAAGCUAGGGGAGCAAACAGG